rnacentral:rRNA from 1 species
GACGAACGCUGGCGGCGUGCUUAACACGUGCAAGUCGAACGGAAAGGCCUGCUUUCCCUUGUGGAUUGCGGGUACUCGAGUGGCGAACGGGUGAGUAACACGUGAGUGAUCUGCCCCCAACUUGGGUAUAAGCCUGGGAAACUGGGUCUAAUUCCCGAUAGGACUGCAGGGUGGUGCCUGUGGUGGAAAACGAUUUUCUAGUGGUUGGGGAUGAGCUCGCGGCCUAUCAGCUUGUUGGUGGGGUAAUGGCCUACCAAGGCGGCGACGGGUAGCCGGCCUGAGAGGGUGGACGGCCACAUUGGGACUGAGAUACGGCCCAGACUCCUACGGGAGGCAGCAGUGGGGAAUAUUGCACAAUGGGCGGAAGCCUGAUGCAGCGACGCCGCGUGGGGGAUGACGGCCUUCGGGUUGUAAACUCCUUUCGACCGCGAGGAAGCCACCUGGUUGGAAGGGUGGUGACGGUAGUGGUAGAAGAAGCACCGGCUAACUACGUG